CCUAACCCUACUCCAGCCCUAACCCCAACCUUCCUCUAACCCUAGUAGGGUUUGGGGUAGGUGUGGGUUUAGGGCUAGGCUUAGGGUUAGAUUCCUGUCAUCAUUCCCUUAAUUUUUCCUCCCUCUCCUGUUUUGCCACUUUUCAGAAAUCCGAAGCACUUCGGCACUUCAGAAAUUCGUCGGUUCGGUUUGGCACUUCCGCAAUUCAGGACUUCGGCAGUUCGGUUCGUCACUUCCAAAAUUCGUCAGUUCAGACAUUCUGAAGCAUCCGAAUGUCUGAGUUGCUGAAAUUCGGACCGAAUCAAAUU